GGAACUGAAGGAAGUCUCCAGCUUAUAAGAUAGUACAAUUUUGUUCAAGGUGUUCAAUUGUCAAUCUUUAUCGCUUAUAUUCGGAAUGAAGGCACAUAAAGUCUGUCUAUUGUAAUAUUACCUCUCGCGUCACAUGGAAGUUCAACUUCAUUGUAGUAAAAUUCCUUGCUAUCCAGAGAGGUAGCUAAGAUGUCUACUACUUGAUUCCCUUCUCCGUAACAGAGUUGCACUUGGAUGCUCCUUUCCUGAACUAUACAUAAAAGAUCAUGUUAACCAAAAGUAAGGAGUCCAUUUCAAGAAUAUUGUGCAAUAACUGUAAGCAGCACCAUGAAAUACCAGAGCAGCCCGAGUUUCUAAGUAAUUGUUAGUACAGAACUGGAUAGGGGCAACAAAGACCAUAAUCAUCUGUCCAUUUCUUUUCCGCACAAUACCACCAGCUCCCGCUUUGCCAAUGACCUUAAUGAAACUACCAUUAGUAUUCAACUCUAAUCCCAUUCCAUAAUAGCAAAAGGUCUAUCCAUUUAACACUCAUGUAAUGUACUCUUGGUGUAUAAGUUUCCACAAUAGUACAAACCUUAGACCAACUAUAAUCCCAUUCCAUGUUGCAAAAGUUAUUACCAAUGGCAAUCUAGACUUGGAUCACAAUUUAUUGGCAGAUUCUAGAGAAAUUAAAGUAUUUGUCGACAUAUUUCUUACCACAUCUGGCUUUCCAGAUUUCCCAACAGGCAAUUAUAGAAAUGAUGUGCAAGAAAAGCUUGUGUGCAUCGUCUUUUGCAGGGGUGUUCCAUCACAAAAUGCCUGAAUAGCAGUAGCCCCAGCAUUUAAGUCCAAAGGAAUGGGGAAAAAAAUUCUCAACUCUGGUAGCCAAAUCAUAAGAAACAAAGAGAUGGUUUAGAAUUUUACUUUUAUCCACCCUGCAACAUGAGCAUCUGAAAGUAAAUUGGAGAUUAGGCAUGUGGACAAUGUCACUUAUGGGAAGUUUCUUUUGAGCAUUAUCCAUCACUGGGAAGAAAUCUUGGAAUUAUUUCUUGCAUCAGACCUAGACCUUGG
rnacentral:lncRNA from 1 species